GACGAACGCUGGCGGCGUGCCUAAUACAUGCAAGUCGAACGCUGAAGAGAGGAGCUUGCUCUUCUUGGAUGAGUUGCGAACGGGUGAGUAACGCGUAGGUAACCUGCCUGGUAGCGGGGGAUAACUAUUGGAAACGAUAGCUAAUACCGCAUAACAACAGUUGUUGCAUGACAGCUGUUUAAAAGAUGCAAUUGCAUCACUACCAGAUGGACCUGCGUUGUAUUAGCUAGUUGGUGAGGUAACGGCUCACCAAGGCGACGAUACAUAGCCGACCUGAGAGGGUGAUCGGCCACACUGGGACUGAGACACGGCCCAGACUCCUACGGGAGGCAGCAGUAGGGAAUCUUCGGCAAUGGGGGGAACCCUGACCGAGCAACGCCGCGUGAGUGAAGAAGGUUUUCGGAUCGUAAAGCUCUGUUGUAAGAGAAGAACGGGUGUGAGAGUGGAAAGUUCACACUGUGACGGUAUCUUACCAGAAAGGGACGGCUAACUACGUG
rnacentral:rRNA from 1 species